GGUUGACCUCGGAUCAGGUAGGGAUACCCGCUGAACUUAAGCAUAUCAAUAAGCGGAGGAAAAGAAACCAACCGGGAUUGCCUCAGUAACGGCGAGUGAAGCGGCAACAGCUCAAAUUUGAAAUCUGGCCCUCGCGGGGUCCGAGUUGUAAUUUGUAGAGGGUGUUUCGGGUGCGGUGCCGGUCUAAGUUCCUUGGAACAGGACGUCAUAGAGGGUGAGAAUCCCGUCUGCGAGUCGGCCACCAACCCCGGGUGAAACCCCUUCGACGAGUCGAGUUGUUUGGGAAUGCAGCUCAAAAUGGGUGGUAAAUUUCAUCUAAAGCUAAAUACCGGCCAGAGACCGAUAGCGCACAAGUAGAGUGAUCGAAAGAUGAAAAGCACUUUGGAAAGAGAGUUAAAAAGUACGUGAAAUUGUUGAAAGGGAAGCGCUUGCGACCAGACCUGCCCUCGGGCGAUCAUCCGCCGCCAUUCGUGGCGGUGCACUCGCCCGGAUGCAGGCCAGCAUCGGUUCGGGCGGCGGGACAAAGGACUCGGGAACGUAGCUCUCUCCGGGGAGCCUUAUAGCCCGGGUCGCCAUGCCGCCCGCCUGGACCGAGGACCGCGCUUCGGCUAGGAUGCUGGCGUAAUGGUCGUAAGCGACCCGUCUUGAAACRCGGACCAAGGAGUCUACCAUCCAUGCGAGUGUUUGGGUGUCAAACCCAGGCGCGGAAUGAAAGUGAACGGAGGUGAGACCCCGCAAGGGCGCAUCAUCGACCGAUCCAGAUGUCUUCGGAUGGAUUUGAGUACGAGCAUGGCUGGUGGGACCCGAAAGAUGAUGAACUAUGCCUGAAUAGGGUGAAGCCAGAGGAAACUCUGGUGGAGGCUCGCAGCGGUUCUGACGUGCAAAUCGAUCGUCGAAUUUGGGUAUAGGGGCGAAAGACCAAUCGAAUCAUCUAGUAGCUGGUUUACGUC
rnacentral:rRNA from 1 species